GCCAAAGACAUAUCAGCCCACGACCGGUUACUCACUGCAGCUAAGCGGGGCUGAGCCUGCUCAGUACCUGGAUGGGAGACCACAUGAGAAAACUAGGUUGCUGUUGGAA
rfam:Danio rerio chromosome 14 genomic contig CTG1748, GRCz11 reference primary assembly.